rnacentral:rRNA from 1 species
CAACAGGGAUUGCCCCAGUAACGGCGAGUGAAGCGGCAACAGCUCAAAUUUGAAAUCUGGCCCCUAGGGUCCGAGUUGUAAUUUGUAGAGGAUGCUUUUGGUGAGGUGCCGCCCGAGUUCCCUGGAACGGGACGCCGCAGAGGGUGAGAGCCCCGUCUGGCUGGCCACCGAGCCUAUGUAAAGCUCCUUCGACGAGUCGAGUAGUUUGGGAAUGCUGCUCAAAAUGGGAGGUAUAUGUCUUCUAAAGCUAAAUAUUGGCCAGAGACCGAUAGCGCACAAGUAGAGUGAUCAAAAGAUGAAAAGCACCUUGAAAAGAGGGUUAAACAGUACGUGAAAUUGUUGAAAGGGAAGCGCUUGUGACCAGACUUGGGCGCGGCGGAUCAUCCGGGGUUCUCCCCGGUGCACUUCGCCGCGUUCAGGCCAGCAUCAGUUCGGCGCGGGGGAAAAAGGCUUCGGGAACGUGGCUCCUCCGGGAGUGUUAUAGCCCGUUGCAUAAUACCCUGCGCUGGACUGAGGACCGCGCAUCUGCAAGGAUGCUGGCGUAAUGGUCACCAGCGA